rnacentral:rRNA from 1 species
GGGCGUAAGCGCGCGCAGGCGGAUCAGUCAGUCUGUCUUAAAAGUUCGGGGCUUAACCCCGUGAUGGGAUGGAAACUGCUGAUCUAGAGUAUCGGAGAGGAAAGUGGAAUUCCUAGUGUAGCGGUGAAAUGCGUAGAUAUUAGGAAGAACACCAGUGGCGAAGGCGACUUUCUGGACGAAAACUGACGCUGAGGCGCGAAAGCCAGGGGAGCGAACGGGAUUAGAUACCCCGGUAGUCCUGGCCGUAAACGAUGGGUACUAGGUGUAGGAGGUAUCGACCCCUUCUGUGCCGGAGUUAACGCAAUAAGUACCCCGCCUGGGGAGUACGACCGCAAGGUUGAAACUCAAAGGAAUUGACGGGGGCCCGCACAAGCGGUGGAGUAUGUGGUUUAAUUCGACGCAACGCGAAGAACCUUACCAGGUCUUGACAUUGAUGGACAGAACCAGAGAUGGUUCCUCUUCUUCGGAAGCCAGAAAACAGGUGGUGCACGGUUGUCGUCAGCUCGUGUCGUGAGAUGUUGGGUUAAGUCCCGCAACGAGCGAACCCCUAUCUUAUGUUGCCAGCACGUAAUGGUGGGAACUCAUGAGAGACUGCCGCAGACAAUGCGGAGGAAGGCGGGGAUGAC